CGUACAGGCGGCCAUAUAAGUCGGAUGUGAAAUUCUCGGGCUUAACCCGGGAACUGCACCCGAUACUGUGUGGCUUGAGAUCAGGAGAGGAGAGUGGAAUAUGUGGUGUAGCGGUGAAAUGCGUAGAUAUCACAUAGAACACCGGUGGCGAAGGCGGCUCUCUGGCCUGAUUCUGACGCUGACGCGCGAAAGCUAGGGUAGCGAACG
rnacentral:rRNA from 1 species